rnacentral:rRNA from 1 species
AAUAGAUACCCUGGUAGUCCACGCCGUAAACGAUGAGUGCUAAGCGUUGGGGGGUUUCCGCCCCUCAGUGCUGCAGCUAACGCAUUAAGCACUCCGCCUGGGGAGUACGGUCGCAAGACUGAAACUCAAAGGAAUUGACGGGGGCCCGCACAAGCGGUGGAGCAUGUGGUUUAAUUCGAAGCAACGCGAAGAACCUUACCAGGUCUUGACAUCCCGGUGACCACUAUGGAGACAUAGUUUCCCCUUCGGGGGCAACGGUGACAGGUGGUGCAUGGUUGUCGUCAGCUCGUGUCGUGAGAUGUUGGGUUAAGUCCCGCAACGAGCGCAACCCUUAUUCUUAGUUGCCAUCAUUCAGUUGGGCACUCUAAGGAGACUGCCGGUGAUAAACCGGAGGAAGGUGGGGAUGACGUCAAAUCAUCAUGCCCCUUAUGACCUGGGCUACACACGUGCUACAAUGGACGGUACAAACGGUUGCCAACCCGCGAGGGGGAGCUAAUCCGAUAAAACCGUUCUCAGUUCGGAUUGUAGGCUGCAACUCGCCUAC